rnacentral:rRNA from 1 species
UAACGCGUGGGUAACCUGCCUUGGUACUGGGGGACGAACAGUUGGAAACGACUGCUAAUACCGCAUAAGCGCACAGCUUCGCAUGAAGCAGUGUGAAAAACUCCGGUGGUACAAGAUGGACCCGCCGUCUGAUUAGCUGGUUGGUGAGGUAACGGCCCACCAAGGCAACGAUCAGUAGCCGGCCUGAGAGGGUGAACGGCCACAUUGGGACUGAGACACGGCCCAAACUCCUACGGGAGGCAGCAUG